rnacentral:misc_RNA from 1 species
UAGGCAGCUUCCUCCUCACCUUUAAAUCGCCGCCAUCUUCAUACCCAUCAUCUACAAUCAGAAACAAUCACAGAUCUGCUUAGCCCAGCUUACCUUUUCAAUCUCUGGUCUUAGAUUCCAACUAUGUCGAUGGAGUCGAGCAACCGCGAGUUCUGGAACUUCAGCGACCAAAUCCGGCUCCAGACGGCCAACCUGGAGGGCCUCUCCAUCGGCGACAGCAUCUGGAGCGACUCCUUCCUCGCCUCCGGCCGCCGUCCCGACGAGCGCCGCAACCUUGACAGCGCCGCCGGCGCCGGCGUCCUCGGAGCGCCGGAUCUGAACUCCGGCCCGUGGAAGGCCGGAUUGGGGGCCGGGCAGAAGCUGGCGUUCGGUAACUCUACCUCCUUCGAUCGCAAUAAUUACAAGAAUAACAACAAUUCUGUGAGUGGCAGCUUGAAGAGCGGUGGCUAUUUCAAUGGAAAUAGCUUUAAUAACGGGGAGAUCAAGAAUUACUUCAAUAAGGCGAUUGCUAAGCCGGUUGGAAAUGAUGCGAGGAAGAACGUCAACGUCAACAUCAAUAAUAUUGAAGGAAAGGGGAUCGGAAAGAAGAAGAACACGAUCAGCAACAACGAUGGCGGUGCGGCGGUUGACAAGAGGUUCAAGACGCUGCCGCCCUCGGAGGCGCUGCCGAGGAGCGAGGCGG